rnacentral:lncRNA from 1 species
CCCCUGUGGUCUUCCCAGGGACCCCGUGAGAGUGCUGAUGUAGCUUUGAUGCUCAUGUGGCCAUUCUGGAGCUGUGUCCACAGUGAGGGCACGAGGAUGGGGGUGCCCUGAAUGUGGGAUUCACGGAUCAGCACAGGUGGCCUUGUGAGGUCCUGUGCCAGCCCGGGUUGAGCUCCUUUGGAGACACUUUCUUGGGUAACUUGUACAUGUUCUGAGCAAAUUCCUUUCCUUCCACUCACUAGGUGGCACCACGAAGCAAUCGAUGACUUCCGACUCCAUCACACGGUUCCCAGCAGCAUCCGGAUAACUCAGGCUGUGCCCUGCUGUGCUGCUCCUUAGAGCUGUCCGUGAUGUGAAGACACAGUGAUGAGUAGGUUUGCAUUUCCCACCCUCCUUUAAGUUCGAUGUGACCAUCUGACUUGCUUUGGACAACAAAAUAUGAGCAGAAGAGAUGCAAGUGGCUCCCGGGCAGAAGCAUUUAAGGAUCUGGGCCGUCACUACGCACUGUUGAUUCCACUCACUAAGCGCGCCUUGGCACUAGCAUCCUCCUCACCUUAGCGCAGCGCCUGCCCUUCUCCACGCCGCUGGCUCUGCUCAACUGGCAGAAUUGCUCAGGCUCCGCCGCUGGCCACCCGAG